rnacentral:rRNA from 1 species
GAUGAACGCUGGCGGCGUGCCUAAUACAUGCAAGUCGAGCGAACAGACGAGGAGCUUGCUCCUCUGACGUUAGCGGCGGACGGGUGAGUAACACGUGGAUAACCUACCUAUAAGACUGGGAUAACUUCGGGAAACCGGAGCUAAUACCGGAUAAUAUAUUGAACCGCAUGGUUCAAUAGUGAAAGACGGUUUUGCUGUCACUUAUAGAUGGAUCCGCGCCGCAUUAGCUAGUUGGUGAGGUAACGGCUUACCAAGGCAACGAUGCUUAGCCGACCUGAGAGGGUGAUCGGCCACACUGGAACUGAGACCCGGUCCAGACUCCUACGGGAGGCAGCAGUAGGGAAUCUUCCGCAAUGGGCGAAAGCCUGACGGAGCAACGCCGCGUGAGUGAUGAAGGUCUUCGGAUCGUAAAACUCUGUUAUUAGGGAAGAACAAAUGUGUAAGUAACUAUGCACGUCUUGACGGUACCUAAUCAGAAAGCCACGGCUAACUACGUG